UCCAUCAUAUAUGCGACUCGCCUCAUCACCUUUCGUCGCUGCGCCACCGCCCUGAUCCCCUUCCUUCUUCCUCGACGCAGAGUCUGCUUCCCUCCGCGCCGGCGGUCUGCUCUUGGCGGGGAUCCUCUGCAGUCGAAUCCUCCUCCGGUCCUCCCUACCGUCUUCUAGCAGAGGAUACAUCUCAUACUUUGAAAUUUUGCCUUGUGCUAUAUAAAGGCACGUGCCGACUGGAAUCAUGGUUCUGCUGUCUGCAUCCACUAGUGAGGAAGUGAAGUUGAAUGUAGAUAGCAACAUACCCCCGAGCUUUUCAGUGGGUAAUGGUUGUCACGUUGUCGUCGUCGUCACUGACGAUCGGGGAACACAACAAGAACACAAAUAUGUGCCGUGCUUCUGCUUGGGUAGUCUUUGUCUGUUUGCCGCCAAUUUUCAUUGCCAUCUCAGCAGGUUCGGCGUACAUCAUGUAUAACACACCCUUCAGGGGCAGUGGCUUCCCAUGGUGGAUGUCAGUGGUCAUGUUAUGGGGUGUCUACAUGGCAGUGGUGCGGCUGGCAAUGUGGCACUUGAUCCUCUUCUUGCCGCGGGCACCCUUUGCGGCGUUUGAAGCUCUGCGUCAUGUAGGUUUUGAGAAGAUUGGCCCUGCUCUCUCAGUAUCCACUGCCCUUUGUUUUGUUCUUUGACCUGGCGUGCAUACUCUGGUCUUGCAUUGUCAGCGUCCUGAUAGCUGCCAUCCUUAGCUUCUGGAUCUGCCUUGUUCGGACCUAUGGGGAGGAGCUAGCGUGGUUGGAUAUGUAGCAGACUAGCAGUUUGGUAGCAGAAUAAUAAUGCGCUCUUUUGAGCUCUUUUGUAAAAAACUGAAGUCAGUAGCCAAAAGCCGCCUUUUUCCUCUGUUUGGCUGGCCUUGUCCCGUUAUGCAUCGGAUGCUGGAUGUCUC